AGCUCCAAUAGCAUAUAUUAAAGUUGUUGCAGUUAAAAAGCUCGUAGUUGGAUUUCUGGCAUGAUGCGCCUGGCCCGCCUCCAUUAGGAGUGUGUGUGCGAGUGCGCGUCUGCCAUCCAUUUGCAGAAUGUGUCUACUCUUCAUUGAGCCGGAUACGUGAUGUAAAUCUUUUACUUUGAAAAAAUUAGAGUGUUUAAAGCAGGCAUUUGCUAUGAAUACAUUAGCAUGGAAUAAUAAUCUAGGACUUCGGUUCUAUUUUGUUGGUUUCUAGAUCUGAAGUAAUGAUUGAUAGGGAUAGUUGGGGGUGCUAGUAUUAAGGGGCCAGAGGUGAAAUUCUUGGAUUCUCUUAAGACUAACUUAUGCGAAAGCAUUCACCAAGGAUGUCUUCU
rnacentral:rRNA from 1 species